UAAAUGAAAUUUAUUAGAGUUAGUUAGGCGGAAUAUAUCAAAGGUAUUAUUAAUGAUAAAGGGUGAAAUCAGAUUAUUAUUGAAUAAUAAAAGAAUAUUGAAGCUGAAGCUAAGAAAGUCUAAGUAAAAACUAGGAUUAGAUACCCUAUUAUUUUAGAAUUUAAUAUUAUACAACUCUAGACAAGUAGUAGAUAAAUACUUAAAAAUUAAAAAAUUUGGCGGUGAUUUAAUCUGUUCAGAGGAACUUGUUUUUUAAUCGAUAAACCACGUUAAAUCUUACUUGUCUUAGUAGAUCAGUAUGUAUACCAUCAUUAACAGGUAAUUUUAAAAAGAAACAAUUGCUGAAAAUAAUUGAUUAAAAAAAUUAGAUCAUGGUGCAGCUUAUAGACAAGGUAAAAUGAGUUACAAUAAAGUAUUUUAGAUGAAUUAAUGGAGGAAGAUGUUCAUUAUAAAGGUGGAUUUGAUUGUAAGUGUGGAUUAAUAAGCUUAUCUGAUAUUGGUGCUAAAUCAUGUACAUAUCGCCCGUCGCUUUCGCUAACCGAAAUAAGUCGUAACAUA
rnacentral:rRNA from 1 species